rnacentral:rRNA from 1 species
AAUUAAGCAUAUAAUUAAGCGGAGGAAAAGAAACUAACCAGGAUUCCCCCAGUAAGGGCGACUGAAGCGGGAAGAGCUCAGGAUGUGAAUCUGUGCUUUCCUAAGGAGGCACCGAAUUGUGGUCUGUAGACUUGUGACGUUAUCCUUCCGGGCCAAGUUCAUUGGAAAAUGGCAGCAGAGAGGGUGACACUCCCGUCCGCCUGUUGGMACGAGUCACUUGUCGACGAGUCGAGUUGUUUGGGAUUGCAGCUCUAAUUGGGUGGUAAAUUCCAUCUAAAGCUAAAUAUUGGUGGGAGACCGAUAGCGUACAAGUACCGUGAGGGAAAGAUGCAAAGAACUUUGAAAAGAGAGUUAAAGAGUACCUGAAAUUGCUGAAACGGAAGCGAAGGAAACCAGUGUCUGACGCGAUCAUACUUCCCUUGCCACUUGUGGUCUGGGCGCUGUGGUUGCGUCAUGUGUCCCCCUUGGUUGUGUCCUGUGGAAGAGCGCUGUCAGAGUUGAUGACGGUUGCUAGCAUUGGACGUGACUGAGGGUGACGAAAUGGUUUUCUUUACCCCGUCUUGAAACACGGGAACCAAGGA